AGCCCCGCCCUUACGUCUGUGACCACGCCCACUGGGGGGGGCACGCCAUCGAGCGAGGCCGGAGCGGAGGUGAAUGUAUCGACACGCCUAUGACCACGCCCACUCGCGCACGCCAUCGAGCGAGGCGUGAGCGGAGGUGAAUGUAUCGACACGACCUUUUGUUGCGAUGGCUUCAAGUGUAAGCUAACCGGGUCUCUGCACUCUGUUAUUUUAUACGCAUUUUUUGAAAUCUUGCAACAGUAUAGCUCGUGUUAAUUGACUGGCCAGGUAAAUGAUAUUUAAAUAGCGUAACAAUAAAGCGGGUUGACUAGGCCCGCCUUUCUCGCGGCGUCUUUGACGUUUGCUGUGGCGUUCCCCCAGUACGAAACCCCGCCUUUUUUUCUCCCGCCUUCGCUGUCAAAUGGACGACAUCAACGUCCGUUCAAACGGUAGUGAAGCUACAACGAUUUGUCAUCUUUUUUAACUCUCCGGGAUUUUAAAAGAUCUUCAGAUGAAACAAACUAAGCAGCAAAGCUGAUGAAGAAGAAUGUUGGUUUGAAGGCUUACUUCACAUUUGUGCCAAUGUGACCUGCGUAACAAAAAGGAUAAGCAGAAAGUUGGAACUUCUCUGUUCUCUAAGGAGGAAUUUGGAUUACUCCAUGACCCUGUUCUGAAAAACUGGUCAUUAAUCAGUGUCAAGAAUGCAUUAUUGAUUAUUUUCAAUGUGUGUGGAUGUUUAGUAUAUAGUCCACUGAUAGCAGCCUCCAAUGAUGAAAAGAAAAGACUGAUACUUGGAAGUAAACAUUUCCCUUUUUUGUGAAGGUUGACUCCUCG